AGUAAGCGCAAGUCAUCAGCUUGCGUUGAUUACGUCCCUGCCCUUUGUACACACCGCCCGUCGCUACUACCGAUUGAAUGGUUUAGUGAGACCU
rnacentral:rRNA from 1 species